rnacentral:rRNA from 1 species
CGUCAGACGAACGCUGGCGGCGUGCCUAAUACAUGCAAGUCGAACGAACUCUGGUAUUGAUUGGUGCUUGCAUCAUGAUUUACAUUUGAGUGAGUGGCGAACUGGUGAGUAACACGUGGGAAACCUGCCCAGAAGCGGGGGAUAACACCUGGAAACAGAUGCUAAUACCGCAUAACAACUUGGACCGCAUGGUCCGAGCUUGAAAGAUGGCUUCGGCUAUCACUUUUGGAUGGUCCCGCGGCGUAUUAGCUAGAUGGUGGGGUAACGGCUCACCAUGGCAAUGAUACGUAGCCGACCUGAGAGGGUAAUCGGCCACAUUGGGACUGAGACACGGCCCAAACUCCUACGGGAGGCAGCAGUAGGGAAUCUUCCACAAUGGACGAAAGUCUGAUGGAGCAACGCCGCGUGAGUGAAGAAGGGUUUCGGCUCGUAAAACUCUGUUGUUAAAGAAGAACAUAUCUGAGAGUAACUGUUCAGGUAUUGACGGUAUUUAACCAGAAAGCCACGGCUAACUACGUGCCAGCAGCCGCGGUAAUACGUAGGUGGCAAGCGUUGUCCGGAUUUAUUGGGCGUAAAGCGAGCGCAGGCGGUUUUUUAAGUCUGAUGUGAAAGCCUUCGGCUCAACCGAAGAAGUGCAUCGGAAACUGGGAAACUUGAGUGCAGAAGAGGACAGUGGAACUCCAUGUGUAGCGGUGAAAUGCGUAGAUAUAUGGAAGAACACCAGUGGCGAAGGCGGCUGUCUGGUCUGUAACUGACGCUGAGGCUCGAAAGUAUGGGUAGCAAACAGGAUUAGAUACCCUGGUAGUCCAUACCGUAAACGAUGAAUGCUAAGUGUUGGAGGGUUUCCGCCCUUCAGUGCUGCAGCUAACGCAUUAAGCAUUCCGCCUGGGGAGUACGGCCGCAAGGCUGAAACUCAAAGGAAUUGACGGGGGCCCGCACAAGCGGUGGAGCAUGUGGUUUAAUUCGAAGCUACGCGAAGAACCUUACCAGGUCUUGACAUACUAUGCAAAUCUAAGAGAUUAGACGUUCCCUUCGGGGACAUGGAUACAGGUGGUGCAUGGUUGUCGUCAGCUCGUGUCGUGAGAUGUUGGGUUAAGUCCCGCAACGAGCGCAACCCUUAUUAUCAGUUGCCAGCAUUAAGUUGGGCACUCUGGUGAGACUGCCGGUGACAAACCGGAGGAAGGUGGGGAUGACGUCAAAUCAUCAUGCCCCUUAUGACCUGGGCUACACACGUGCUACAAUGGAUGGUACAACGAGUUGCGAACUCGCGAGAGUAAGCUAAUCUCUUAAAGCCAUUCUCAGUUCGGAUUGUAGGCUGCAACUCGCCUACAUGAAGUCGGAAUCGCUAGUAAUCGCGGAUCAGCAUGCCGCGGUGAAUACGUUCCCGGGCCUUGUACACACCGCCCGUCACACCAUGAGAGUUUGUAACACCCAAAGUCGGUGGGGUAACCUUUUAGGAACCAGCCGCCUAAGGUGGGACAGAUGAUUAGGGUGAAGUCUAAAAGGGGAAACCAAAAAUGCCUCCACAUG